UACGAAGGGGGCUAGCGUUGCUCGGAAUUACUGGGCGUAAAGCGCACGUAGGCGGAUUGUUAAGUCGGGGGUGAAAUCCUGGAGCUCAACUCCAGAACUGCCUUCGAUACUGGCGAUCUCGAGUUCGGGAGAGGUGAGUGGAACUGCGAGUGUAGAGGUGAAAUUCGUAGAUAUUCGGAAGAACACCAGUGGCGAAGGCGACUCACUGGACACGUAUUGACGCUGAGGUGCGAAAGCGUGGGGAGCAAACAGG
rnacentral:rRNA from 1 species